rnacentral:rRNA from 1 species
UACGUAGGGUGCGAGCGUUGUUCGGAUUUAUUGGGCGUAAAGGGUGCGUAGGCGGUUUGGCAAGUCUUGUGUGAAAUCUUCGGGCUCAACCCGAAGCCUGCAUAAGAAACUGCCGGGCUUGAGUAUGGGAGAGGUGAGUGGAAUUUCCGGUGUAGCGGUGAAAUGCGUAGAUAUCGGAAGGAACACCUGUGGCGAAAGCGGCUCACUGGACCAUAACUGACGCUGAGGCACGAAAGCUAGGGGAGCAAACAGG